GAGUCUUUAGCUCAGCUGGUUAGAGCACCUCACUUUUAAUGAGGGGGUCGAUGGUUCGAAUCCAUCAAGACUCA
rnacentral:tRNA from 1 species